GAGUUCACCAGUUCAGGUCAUCACUGGAUAUCAGCUGCCUGUUUAUAAUUAUCAGAUGCCACCGCAGUGGCCUGCUGGAGAGCAGAGGAGUUAUGUUAUACCUCCGGCUUAUACAACUGUUAACUACCAUUGCAGUGAAGUUGAUCCAGGAGCUGACCUUUUGCCCAAUGAAUGCUCAGUUCAUGAUGCUGCUCCAGCCUCUGGAAAUGGCCCACAAAAGAAAUCUGUGGACCGAAGCAUACAGACAGUGGUCUCUUGUCUGUUUAACCCUGAGAACAGACUGAGAAACUCUCUUGUUACUCAAGAUGACUACUUCAAGGAUAAAAGAGUACAUCACUUUAGAAGAAGUCGGGCAGUGCUUAAAUCUGAUCAUCUCUGCUAACUUUCUCAUCUCAGGAGGUUAUUGGUUUUGAAUAUUAAAAGAAGCUGAAAAGUUUUCAGUAUUACAGAAAACUUGACAAAUCACUCAGACUUACUAUAAAAGUUAUAUUAGAUUGCCUAGUUUUAUGUUAAAUCUGUUCAUUAGAUGUUUAUAUAGAAACUGGUUCUGUGUUCACCAUAUAGUUGAAAGAAAAAAUAAUUGCAAGUAAAAAAGAUAAAAAAUAAUUUCCAAAUAACUGAAAACUAGUUGAAAGGAAUAACUUUUAAGAUUUACCUUAAGGAUUUUUAAUUGAAAUUGGCAUUUUAAGAGUUCAAAAGC
rnacentral:lncRNA from 1 species